UACGAAGGGAGCUAGCGUUGUUCGGAAUCACUGGGCGUAAAGCGCACGUAGGCGGAUGUGUCAGUCAGGGGUGAAAUCCCGGAGCUCAACUUCGGAACUGCCUUUGAUACAGCACGUCUUGAGUCCGGAAGAGGUGGGUGGAAUUCCUAGUGUAGAGGUGAAAUUCGUAGAUAUUCGCAAGAACACCAGUGGCGAAGGCAGCCCCCUGGUCAGACGGUG
rnacentral:rRNA from 1 species